rnacentral:ribozyme from 13 species
AACAUGUUGUCAACAUCAAACCAGCAAAAAGAUGAGAGGACGUGACACAGAACAGAAAGGGGAGACAACAGAAAGAGAGACAACGCUUUUCAUCUUUUGAGUUUUGUUUCUUUUGUUUCUUCU